rnacentral:rRNA from 2 species
CAGUGGCGAACGGGUGAGUAACACGUGGGCAAUCUGCCCUGCACUCUGGGACAAGCCUUGGAAACGAGGUCUAAUACCGGAUAUUACCCCUGGGGGCAUCCCUGGGGGUGGAAAGCUCCGGCGGUGCAGGAUGAGCCCGCGGCCUAUCAGCUUGUUGGUGGGGUGAUGGCCUACCAAGGCGACGACGGGUAGCCGGCCUGAGAGGGCGACCGGCCACACUGGGACUGAGACACGGCCCAGACUCCUACGGGAGGCAGCAGUGGGGAAUAUUGCACAAUGGGCGCAAGCCUGAUGCAGCGACGCCGCGUGAGGGAUGAAGGCCUUCGGGUUGUAAACCUCUUUCAGCAGGGAAGAAGCGCAAGUGACGGUACCUGCAGAAGAAGCACCGGCUAACUACGUGCCAGCAGCCGCGGUAAUACGUAGGGUGCGAGCGUUGUCCGGAAUUAUUGGGCGUAAAGAGCUCGUAGGCGGCUUGUCGCGUCGGAUGUGAAAGCCCGGGGCUUAACCCCGGGUCUGCAUUCGAUACGGGCAGGCUGGAGUGUGGUAGGGGAGAUCGGAAUUCCU